rnacentral:rRNA from 1 species
UACCAGCUCUCCGAGUGGUAGGGAUGAUUAUUGGGCUUAAAGCGUCCGUAGCCGGCUUAGCAAGUUUCCUGUUAAACCCAGCGACUCAAUCGUUGGAUCGCGGGAAAUACUACUAGGCUAGGAGGCGGGAGAGGUCAACGGUACUUCUGGGGUAGGGGUGAAAUCCUAUAAUCCCGGGAGGACCACCAGUGGCGAAGGCUGUUGACUAGAACGCGCUCGACGGUGAGGGACGAAAGCUGGGGUAGCAAACCGGAUUAGAUACCCGGGUAGUCCCAGCUGUAAACGAUGUGAGCUAGGUGUUGGGAUGGCUACGGGCCAUUUCAGUGCCGCAGGGAAGCCAUUAAGCUCGCCGCCUGGGGAGUACGGCCGCAAGGCUGAAACUUAAAGGAAUUGGCGGGGGAGCACCACAAGGCGUGAAGCUUGCGGUUC